rnacentral:rRNA from 1 species
GUGGGGAAUCUUGCACAAUGGGCGAAAGCCUGACGCAGCCAUGCCGCGUGAAUGAUGAAGGUCUUAGGAUUGUAAAAUUCUUUCACCGGGGACGAUAAUGACGGUACCCGGAGAAGAAGCUCCGGCUAACUUCGUGCCAGCAGCCGCGGUAAUACGAAGGGGGCUAGCGUUGCUCGGAAUUACUGGGCGUAAAGGGCGCGUAGGCGGACAGCUUAGUCAGAGGUGAAAGCCCAGGGCUCAACCUUGGAAUUGCCUUUGAUACUGGCUGUCUUGAGUUUGGGAGAGGUGAGUGGAACUCCGAGUGUAGAGGUGAAAUUCGUAGAUAUUCGGAAGAACACCAGUGGCGAAGGCGACUCACUGGCCCAAUACUGACGCUGAGGCGCGAAAGCGUGGGGAGCAAACAGGAUUAGAUACCCGGGUAGUCC